AUUGCAUCGGGUCACCUGGUGCAGGUUGCAGCCUGGAACAGCUUGUACCCCCGAUUGGUCAGGCCCAUCAUGUAUUCGAAUCAUCCUGUACCAAAAUCCUACUGCCAGCGUCAUUCCCCAAUCUCUUUGAGCUCGACGGAGAUAGCGAGGUGAUUUCGUCUGCGGCGGCGCUCCUUCCACGCUGGAGCGAGGCCAAGCGCCCGGCGAAGAAUUGAGCAAAUUCUCCCUCUGCAAAGCUCACGGGCACCGAGUUCUUCGGAGAUCUGGUGCCAAGUUUGAAACGUCUCGCGGAAAUACGCAGCGGCGGGGAGGAGGUAGAGGCAGUCGUUGGGUGUUCAACCAUGGUGCCGGAGAUAGCCACAGCGCUGAAUCAAAAGGCUCGGGCAAACGGGCUACCUGCAGAGGCGUCCCCGACAAGGUGCUUGAUGCAGAUAGAUCCGUCAAUGGAGGCGAAAAUGGGGGAACGGCUGUCAUCUCUUGAUGGAAAACGAAGGGUCAUCCAAGUCCUAUGGAUGAUAUUCAACCAGCUGUAAAAAGUGCCUUGACGAAGGCUUACAAGCAAGGAACUAGUUAUCCGAUCAGCAGAUCAAAUAAAUAUCUCAGGCAGGAAACACAAACUUUAAAGAAACGAGUGGCGACACUCCUGGAGCCAUUUGAUGAGAGUUUGCCUGACAAAAGUGGAGUAGCAUCAGCUAAAAGUGUUGAAGAAGAAGCUUUUGAUGCUGAAAAUGAUGGUAUGUGCUUUCUUAGUCAAUAAAUACAAUCAGACAAGGGUUUUAAGUGAAGGAUAAACAUAAUGCAGAAAUAGAAUUGUUGGAGGUUAACACUUCUAUGAAUUGAAUAAUCUGCUUGGUCAGGGAUGAGUUUCUAUCUUAAUAUACAUUUAUUCUGUUCUUUAAUCUGUAACAUGCCAUGUAGGCCUUUAGCUGGGGACAUAUCAGGUGAA